rnacentral:rRNA from 1 species
GAUGAACGCUGGCGGCGUGCCUAAUACAUGCAAGUCGAGCGAACAGACGCGGAGCUUGCUCCUCUGACGUUUGCGGCGGACGGGUGUGUAACACGUGGAUACCCUCCCUAUCAGUCUGGGAUAACUUCGGGAAACCGGAGCUAAUACCGGAUAAUAUAUUGAACCGCAUGGUUCAAUAGUGAAAGUCGGUUUUGCUGUCACUUAUCGCUGGAUCCGCGCCGCAUUAGCUAGUUGGUACGGUAAAGGCUUACCACGGCAACGAGGCGUAGCCGACCUGAGAGAGGGGUCGGCCACAUGGGAGCGGAGACACGGUCAAUAGGACUACGGGAGGGAGCAGUAGGGAACCGGCCGCAAUGGUCGAAAGCCUGACACAGCAACGGCGAGUGAGAAGUGAAGGUCUUCGGAUCGUAAUACUGUGUUAUGAGGGAAGAACAAAUGUGGAAGUAACUGUGCACGGCUUGACGGUAACGAGUCAGAAAGCCACGGCUAACUACGUG